GACAGAGGGUGCAAACGUUGUUCGGAAUUACUGGGCGUAAGCGUGUGUAGGCGGCUACAUAAGUCGGAUGUGAAAGCCCCGGGCUCAACCCGGGAAGUGCACUCGAUACUGCGUAGCUUGAGUCUCGGAGAGGUUGGUGGAAUUCUCGGUGUAGAGGUGAAAUUCGUAGAUAUCGAGAGGAACACCGGUGGCGAAGGCGGCCAACUGGACGAAGACUGACGCUGAGACACGAAAGCGUGGGGAGCAAACAGG
rnacentral:rRNA from 1 species